AGAGUUUGAUCCUGGCUCAGGAUGAACGCUAGCGACAGGCUUAACACAUGCAAGUCGAGGGGCAUCAUGAGGUAGCAAUACCUUGAUGGCGACCGGCGCACGGGUGAGUAACGCGUAUGCAACCUGCCCGAUACCGGGGUAUAGCCCAUGGAAACGUGGAUUAACACCCCAUAGUACUUUUAUCCUGCCUGGGAUGGGAGUUAAAUGUUCAAGGUAUCGGAUGGGCAUGCGUCCUAUUAGUUAGUUGGCGGGGUAACAGCCCACCAAGACGAUGAUAGGUAGGGGUUCUGAGAGGAAGGUCCCCCACAUUGGAACUGAGACACGGUCCAAACUCCUACGGGAGGCAGCAGUGAGGAAUAUUGGUCAAUGGACGAGAGUCUGAACCAGCCAAGUCGCGUGAGGGAAGACUGCCCUAUGGGUUGUAAACCUCUUUUAUAAGGGAAGAAUAAGUUCUACGUGUAGAAUGAUGCCUGUACCUUAUGAAUAAGCAUCGGCUAACUCCGUGCCAGCAGCCGCGGUAAUACGGAGGAUGCGAGCGUUAUCCGGAUUUAUUGGGUUUAAAGGGUGCGUAGGCGGUUUAUUAAGUUAGUGGUGAAAUAUUUGCAGCUAAACCGUCAAUUUGCCAUUAAUACUGGUAAACUGGAGUACAGACGAGGUAGGCGGAAUAAGUUAAGUAGCGGUGAAAUGCAUAGAUAUAACUUAGAACUCCGAUAGCGAAGGCAGCUUACCAGACUGUAACUGACGCUGAUGCACGAGAGCGUGGGUAUCGAACAGGAUUAGAUACCCUGGUAGUCCACGCCGUAAACGA
rnacentral:rRNA from 1 species